UACAAUAUCGAAUAAUUAUCGUGCAAUGUUCUUUUCAUUAUCAUUCGUCCGUUUUGGCACUUCAUUCGUCGUUUAGUUGCUUCUCAUACACGAACGAACGUGAACGUGGUACGCGCGGCGCAUAUUAUUUUUCGUUUAGUGAAAGUGUAAGUAGUGUUGGCUCGCUGUGGUUGUUGUAGAAGCAGCAGCAGCAGCCCAAGCAGUAGCGACGUUUUGUGCACAAUACAUACACGGCCGCCAUAUUAAAAUGGCAUAAAAAGCCGUUUGACAGUUACAAUUUAAUCGUAUUGACGAGUGUGUUGUGUCUGUGUGUGUUACCAA
rnacentral:sRNA from 1 species